AAAACAGCAAUGUUUGCUUAAAUACAGUACAUGCAUCUGAGUAUCUGAGUCCUGGGGACCUGUGAUGUUCUUCAGAUCCGUGUGUGAUGGUUGCCUCUCUUAAGAGAAGAAGAUCCUGCCAGGAUGAUCAGUGAGGAUAUCUGUGGCAAGAUGCUUGGAAAGAGCGUGCACAGAAGCCUUUCCGGAUGGUGUGGUGUGAAGGAAAACCACAGGCCGAAGAACUGAAUCAAAGUGUUGCAGCUGAAGAAAAAAGCCAAGAGACUUGGCACCUCUGUGUGAUGAAAUCCAUAUACUGGCUGUGGUUGCAGGGCUGAGCAAAACACAGAGCAGAUGAAGAGAUACAGGUCAGUAUGUGCAUCUAGAGCUGUUUGCCAAGAUGACAUGGAUCCAGAGGAAUGUUUGAAUAUCAUCCAGAAAUUGUCAUUCCUGAAUAU
rnacentral:lncRNA from 1 species